rnacentral:rRNA from 1 species
AAUCAACGCUGGCGGCGUGCCUAACACAUGCAAGUCGAACGCGAAAGCCCCGCAAGGGGUAAGUAGAGUGGCAAACGGGUGAGUAACACGUGGGUGGACCUGCCUUCGAGUGGGGGAUAACGUCCCGAAAGGGACGCUAAUACCGCAUAACACCCUGCCUUUGAAGAGGUGGAGAUCAAAGGCCGGGACCGCAAGGCCUGGCGCUCAAAGAGGGGCCCGCGCCUGAUUAGCUAGUUGGUGAGGUAAUGGCUCACCAAGGCAACGAUCAGUAUCCGGCCUGAGAGGGCGGACGGACACACUGGGACUGAGACACGGCCCAGACUCCUACGGGAGGCAGCAGUGGGGAAUUGUUCGCAAUGGGCGCAAGCCUGACGACGCAACGCCGCGUGGAGGAUGAAGACCU